rnacentral:rRNA from 1 species
AGUCACUGACAUUAGAUACCCCCGUAGUCCAGGGUGUAAACGCUGCAGACUUGGUGUUGGGGGCCCUUUGGGGGCAUUCAGUGCCGGAGAGAAGUUGUUAAGUCUGCUACUUGGGGAGUACGUCCGCAAGGAUGAAACUUAAAGGAAUUGGCGGGGGAGCACCGCAACGGGAGGAGCGUGCGGUUUAAUUUGGAUUCAACACCGUAAAACUCACCAGGGAAGACUGUUACAUGAAGGCCGAGAUGAAGACUCUGCUAGAUUUUCAG